UACGGGGGGGGCAAGCGUUGUUCGGAAUUACUGGGCGUAAAGGGCUCGUAGGUGGCCAACUAAGUCAGACGUGAAAUCCCUCAGCUUAACUGGGGAACUGCGUCUGAUACUGGAUGGCUUGAGAUUGGGAGAGGGAUGCGGAAUUCCAGGUGUAGCGGUGAAAUUCGUAGAUAUCGAGAGGAACACCGGUGGCGAAGGCGGCCUUCUGGACAGUGACUGACGCUGAGACGCGAAAGCGUGGGGAGCAAACAGG
rnacentral:rRNA from 1 species